rnacentral:rRNA from 1 species
UACGUAGGAGACGAGCGUUGUCCGGAAUCACUGGGCGUAAAGCGCGUGUAGGCGGGGCCUCGCGUCUGGUGUGAAAACUCCUGGCUUAACCGGGAGAGGUCGGUGGAAACUGCGAACCUGGAGGACGGUAGAGGCUGGUGGAAUUCCCGGUGUAGUGGUGAAAUGCGUAGAGAUCGGGAGGAACACCGGUGGCGAAGGCGGGUCUCUGGGCCGAUACUGACGCUGAGGAGCGAAAGCGUGGGGAGCGAACAGG